AUUGAACGCUGGCGGCGUGCCUAACACAUGCAAGUCGAGAGGUAACAGGUGUAGCAAUACAUGCUGACGAGCGGCGGACGGGUGAGUAACGCUUGGGAAUCUGCCUAUUAGUGGGGGACAACCCGGGGAAACUCGGGCUAAUACCGCAUACGCUCUACGGAGGAAAGCCGGGGACCGCAAGGCCUGGCGCUAAUAGAUGAGCCCAAGUCGGAUUAGCUAGUUGGUAGGGUAAUGGCCUACCAAGGCGACGAUCCGUAACUGGUCUGAGAGGACGACCAGUCACACCGGAACUGAGACACGGUCCGGACUCCUACGGGAGGCAGCAGGUGGGGAAUAUUGGACAAUGGGCGAAAGCCUGAUCCAGCGACGCCGCGU
rnacentral:rRNA from 1 species